rnacentral:tRNA from 1 species
GCAGUGGUGGUUCAGUGGCAGAAUUCUCCUUCCACACAGGAGUCCCAGGUUCGAUUCCUGGCUGAUGCA